CUGGCCGACAGGAAGAGGCGCGGUGGCCCCCGCAGGGCAAGGGCACCUCUUCAGCUCCUGCUACCUGCACGGGCGGAGAGGGGGCGGCGGGCCUCCGGAGCCCAUAGGCUGGAACCACUGCAGUCAGACCCACCGGGACAACGCGCGGCCUCUUUGGCUGACCGAGGACUGGAAGAGGGUCGGGCGCAGGCCCAGUUAGAUGACAGACAUUUUAUUUCCUUACAUCAAAGAAAAAGUUAGAGUGUUUGCAGAACACAUUGGGAAGAAGAGGAACGCCAGCAGGAUGUCAGUCUUUUGAGGAAACAGGCUGAAGAGGACUCCCACCUGGAUGGGGCUGUUCCGAUCCCUGCUGCACCUGAGAAUGGAGCAGAUGACCUGCAACUGAUGAUCCAUGCGGUGGUAGAUACCGUGGGCGGGCAGAUGUCUCUGGACCGAAAGACGCCGGCACUGAAACAGCUGCAGGGCCACAUGUGGAGGGCAGCAUUCCCAGCAGGGCACGUGAAAGCAGAGUUCUUCGAAGAUGUAGGUCCAGCAGUCAGGAAGUGGAGACAGGCUGGAAUGAAGGCGUAUAUUUAUUCUUCAGGGAGUGUAGAAGCACAGAAACUAUUAUUCAGGUAUUCUACAGUGGGAGAUAUUCUUGAGCUUGUUGAUGGUCACUUUGAUACCAAGAUUGGACACAAAGUAGAGAGUGAGAGUGAUCGAAAGAUUGCAAACAGCAUUGGGUGCUCAACCAACAACAUCUUAUUUCUGACAGACGGGACUCUAGAGGCCAGUGCUGCUGAGGAAGCAGAUGUACAUGGAGCUGUGGUGGUGAGACCUGGCAAUGCAGGACUAACAGAUGAUGAAAAGACUUACUACAGCCUCAUCACGUCCUUCAGCGAACUGUACCUGCCUUCUUCCACCUAGAGGAUUUCCGAGGAAGACCAAACUGUCUCCACAGAGUCGCCCUGUAGACUAGUUUUUUUCUAGUGGUAA